ACCUGCUGUUUUGAUGCUGGUGAAAUGGCUGGUUCCAACAAAUAGAAUAACCUGUUAAUAAGCAAAAAAUAUUUUACUUUUCCAUAGCUUCUUUUUAUUCUGUCCUGUUAUUUCAGGACAUGGUCUUGACAUGCUAUAGCAUGAUAUAAUUCAUAGUGAUGCUAUCUAAUGUGCUACAGCAAAAUAUCAAGCAGGGGAAGUGAGAGCUCACACUAUCAUGACAUGUAAGUAUUUCAGAGUGCAAACUGCUGCAGGCAAAGUCUGAUAUAUACUAUCAUUAAUGAAAAGCAUGUAUAUCCUGCAUGUUAUCCGCUGCUCAGUCAAUAAGGCUUUUGAAAGGGAAGACUCACAGUCUAGUGGCUGGAGGAGUAGACUAAGUUUGAGUUUUUUUACUUACAGUGACCUCAUGUAACCCUUUUUCAUUCACCCUGAUAACUGUGAAGUAGAGACAAAGAAUCACUAAGCCAUCCUUUCAGGAACAUUAGUAGGCUUGACUCACUAACAUCAACAUUGUCUGUAAAUUUUUAACAAGCAAAAUUUUUAACAAACAUAACAAGCUACCAAAUAAUGCAUGAUCGUAAUGGUAUAGAUGUCAGCAGGUAGCAAGAACAGGACAAGAGGGGAUGAACCAGGAGCUGAAAGUAAUCCUUUUCCCAUAACAUCAAAACACAUCAGGAAGAGAAAGCUGCCAGUAGCAGGGUCCAUUAACAGUCUGACAGACGGCAAGGAAUGAACCAGGUUCAAGGUCUAACCCCAUGUCAAGUCAGGAACAAAAGGAAACGUAACUGCAAGAUAGGUCUAAAGUCCAUCUGGGUAGACCUGUUACAUAUUUCAGGUACUGCAAAAGACAUCCAUACACAAGAAGACACAAAGUGGGAUCUGUGAAUCUGUUUAGCCACCACACAAGAGUGAGAGAUUAUUCAAAUACCACGGCUGGGGGAAAACAAGCAGGUGCAACAUCAAAUUAUGUUGGGCAUUUCUUCAAUGGAUAUUUUGUUCUAAAUCAAAGCAUACUGCCAACUAAUAAGCCAUGUGCCCUAUGCUUGAGUGUAGUGCACAUCCUACAAGAAGACAGAAAUGCCCUGUGCAAAGGGCACUGCAGCACAGAGGUACUGCACACAGGAUGAGGAAAGCAAGGGUCUACUCUGCAAAGCAACUGCACAAAUGCAGUUACUGAUCCUGCUGAUGAGAUGGGAACCUAAGUAAAAUCCAGUGUGUUCCUCUAUGGUUGAAUCAAGAGCAGCAGGAACACAAGACAGGGAACACAGUAAACAAAAACCACUUUAUUUGUAUCUAAUAAACAGUCAUCAGUGCGAACA
rnacentral:lncRNA from 1 species